rnacentral:rRNA from 1 species
AUUGAACGCUGGCGGCAUGCUUUACACAUGCAAGUCGAACGGUAACAGGGAGCUUGCUCCGCUGACGAGUGGCGAACGGGUGAGUAAUGCGUCGGAACGUGCCGAGUAGUGGGGGAUAACGCAGCGAAAGUUGUGCUAAUACCGCAUACGUACUGAGGUAGAAAGUGGGGGACCUUCGGGCCUCACGCUAUUCGAGCGGCCGACGUCUGAUUAGCUAGUAGGUGAGGUAAAGGCUCACCUAGGCGACGAUCAGUAGCGGGUCCGAGAGGAUGAUCCGCCACACUGGGACUGAGACACGGCCCAGACUCCUACGGGAGGCAGCAGUGGGGAAUUUUGGACAAUGGGCGAGAGCCUGAUCCAGCCAUGCCGCGUGUCUGAAGAAGGCCUUCGGGUUGUAAAGGACUUUUGUCGGGGAGGAAAUCCCCAGCGCUAAUACCGCUGGGGGAUGACAGUACCUGAAGAAUAAGCACCGGCUAACUACGUGCCAGCCGCCGCAGUAAGAC